rnacentral:lncRNA from 1 species
GUAAGCAGUUUUUUUAUGGGACUCAGAUUUCCUGAGUUGAGACCCUGCCAGAUUGGCCCAAGGCAGGAGGGAAUCCUAUUUGCAACACAGAGGAGAUAGUGGCCAACAAGGAGCAGUGAAGCUUUGGGCUGAAAAGAACAGAACUAAUGGAAUGUGGACUUGUCCCUCACCCUCCAGAGCUCGGUCCACAUGUGAGGCUGGUGCCCAGACCCAACCCCAAACCCACCACCUCACAGGAUGCAGCGCUUUCUUAGGCCUGCAGCUAUGCAGCUACUUUCCUAUGUCUCAUGGACAGCAAAGACUAGCAUGAUGGGUGAAGGAUGGAGGUGACGGAGGCAUUC